UACGUAGGUGGCAAGCGUUGUCCGGAUUUACUGGGCGUAAAGGGAGCGUAGGCGGAUACUUAAGUGGGAUGUGAAAUACCUGGGCUUAACUUGGGUGCUGCAUUCCAAACUGGGUGUCUAGAGUGUUGGAGAGGAAAGUGGAAUUCCUAGUGUAGCGGUGAAAUGCGUAGAGAUUAGGAAGAACACCAGUGGCGAAGGCGACUUUCUGGACAAUAACUGACGCUGAGGCUCGAAAGCGUGGGGAGCAAACAGGAUUAGAUACCCUGGUAGUCCACGCCGUAAACGAUGAGUACUAGGUGUAGGAGGGAUCGACUCCUCCUGUGCCGCCGUUAACGCAAUAAGUACCCCGCCUGGGGAGUACGGUCGCAAGGUUGAA
rnacentral:rRNA from 1 species